ensembl:snoRNA
GCACUUGAAUCUUUCCUAGGCCCGCUACUGCGUGCUGGUCUGGGGACAGAUGGUGCUAUACUAAGCGCAGAGGAUAUCCAGACGGGCUGCUUUCCAUUUGUCUUGGGGCCCGUCUCUACAACUCUGCCACAUGU